rnacentral:rRNA from 1 species
UGCAGAAUCCCGUGAACCAUCGAGUUUUUGAACGCAAGUUGCGCCCGAAGCCUUUUGGCCGAGGGCACGUCUGCCUGGGCGUCACAC